CCAUGCAUGUCUCAGUGCAAGCCGUAUUAAGGCGAUACCGCGAAUGGCUCAAUAUAUCAGUUUUGGUUCCUUAGAUCUUACUCAGUUACUUGGAUAACUGUGGUAAUUCUAGAGCUAAUACAUGCAAUCAGAACUCUGACCAGUGAUGGGAUGAGUGCUUUUAUUAGAUCAAAACCAAUCGACGGAGGGCCUCGCGUCCGAAGUCGUUAAUUUUGAUGAAUCUGGAUAACUUUUGCCGAUCGCAUGGUCCAGUACCGGCGACGCAUCUUUCAAAUGUCUGCCUUAUCAACUUUCGAUGGUAGUUUCUGCGACUACCAUGGUUGUCACGGGUAACGGGGAAUCAGGGUUCGAUUCCGGAGAGGGAGCCUGAGAAACGGCUACCACAUCCAAGGAAGGCAGCAGGCGCGCAAAUUACCCACUCCCGGCACGGGGAGGUAGUGACGAAAAAUAACGAUACGGGACUCUUACGAGGCCUCGUAAUCGGAAUGAGUACACUUUAAAUAUUUUAACGAGGAACAAUUGGAGGGCAAGUCUGGUGCCAGCAGCCGCGGUAAUUCCAGCUCCAAUAGCGUAUACUAAAAUUGUUGCGGUUAAAAAGCUCGUAGUUGCAUUUGUGCGCCGCGCUGUCGGUGCACCGCUUCCGCGGUGAUACUGACACGUUUGCGGAGCAUAUCGUCGGUGAGUCGGCGGUAAAACGCCGGUUCAAUAUCAAAAUCCUAUCGCGGUGCUCUUCAGUGAGUGUCGAGAUGGGCCGACAAUUUUACUUUGAACAAAUUAGAGUGCUCAAAGCGGGCUCAAAAUGCUGCUUGAAUAUUUCGUGCAUGGAAUAAUAGAAUAUGAUCUCGGUUCUAUUUUGUUGGUUUUCAGAACUCCGAGGUAAUGAUUAAUAGGGAUAACUGGGGGGCAUUCGUAUUGCGACGUUAGAGGUGAAAUUCUUGGAUCGUCGCAAGACGAACAUCAGCGAAAGCAUUUGCCAAAGGUGUUUUCAUCAAUCAAGAACGAAAGUUAGAGGUU
rnacentral:rRNA from 1 species